GGUCCUUCAGCCUGGAUGGGUCCUUCUCCCUGGGGGAAGGCCGAGCCGGGGGUCUCCUCCUCGGAGGCCCCC
rnacentral:tRNA from 1 species